rnacentral:rRNA from 1 species
GAUGAACGCUGGCGGCGUGCCUAAUACAUGCAAGUCGAGCGAACAGACGAGGAGCUUGCUCCUCUGACGUUAGCGGCGGACGGGUGAGUAACACGUGGAUAACCUACCUAUAAGACUGGGAUAACUUCGGGAAACCGGAGCUAAUACCGGAUAAUAUAUUGAACCGCAUGGUUCAAUAGUGAAAGACGGUUUUGCUGUCACUUAUAGAUGGAUCCGCGCCGCAUUAGCUAGUUGGUAAGGUAACGGCUUACCAAGGCAACGAUGCGUAGCCGACCUGAGAGGGUGAUCCGCCACACUAGAACUGAGACACGGUCCAGACUCCUACGGGAGGCAGCAGUAGGGAAUCUUCCGCAAUGGGCGAAAGCCUGACGGAGCAACGCCGCGUGAGUGAUGAAGGUCUUCGGAUCGUAAAACUCUGUUAUUAGGGAAGAACAAAUGUGUAAGUAACUAUGCACGUCUUGACGGUACCUAAUCAGAAAGCCACGGCUAACUACGUG